rnacentral:lncRNA from 1 species
GCCAGCUUGGUGCCGUCGGGAUACUCUGCCUCUGGGGUACCUGUACCUGCUGGAAGUUUCGGAGGAAUCCGUGAGCCACGGGGACUCAGCAAUCUAAGGCCUUGGUGCCAGAUCUAGCCAUGUUAUUGGGCAAGGAAGGGGUAAAGUGUUUCAGGCUGCUGCAUUCUAAGGCUGAAUAAGUGGCUAGCUUACGCAAAGGAGAAGUGACAGUGUUCUAUACUAACGAUCGUGAAUACUUGAUCAGAACGUGAUCCUGAACACCUACCUACGGCAUUCUUAACCCCACCGUGUUCCCGAUCGAAGAGAGAUCUUCGAAGGGACAGUCACGGUUACGCACACAGUUGGCAUAUUUUAUUAGUUUAUGUUUAAGUUUUCUAAUACCGGAUGUUAACAAAAUAUUCCAAGUUGCCACAUAACCGCGGGCACGGCUUUCCGAAAGAUUAAACCCUGCAGGGGUGCUCCAACUAGUUCAUCACAAACGAACACAGGCCGCAAAGGUAUCCUCUAUCACGAAUCUCGUGAUCUCGUCGGAUUCCUUAGAGAAAACCUCAACUCUGGGUGAAACCAAAGCUUCACCGGAAUUCCUAUACGCAAGAUAAACCGCUAAGGCAAGACAAGACUAGCAGGACCUCCCGACGUGUCGACGACCCUGAUAAGAGCCGCGUAUCUCAGUCUUAGGACACGCCGGAUGAGUCACACUACAGGUAUACCAAACCUCAGGUUGCCCUGUGGUGGCCCCAUAGUCUGCUCAGUUUGGACCAACACUCAUGAGGAGCACUGGCCCGAGUUGUUGAUUAAGAAACCUCGGGGUAGCUAUUCCCUAUGCAGUUUAUUAUUAAGUGAUUAGCAAAUAGUACCAAUGUUGGGUCCUGCCGGACACGCCUUAACACUACGCGAUUUAUCAAGGGGGUCCCCAUAACAACCCCGAACGUGUUAGGAGCGAUCAUUAUGGAAUCAAACACCGGUAACCGGUAACUAAGGCGGCAAUAACGGAACAAGACACCCGGCAAAAGGCUAGGCCUCCCGACAUUUACCACAUAUAUAGGUACCUUAAUUAAAUAAAAGGAAUUAACAUAAUGAUAUCAAGCUCAGGGCAACUCAUGAGUUAUAAACACCUGCAACUAGCAAUGCUAACAUUAGUAGCUGAGCAAGCCUACCUAGCCAUGCAAGUUUGCUAGGAAAGAGUAAGGUGUUUAGGCUUACGGCAUAUGAAGAGGUAAUAUAUUUUCAGUGGUAGGCAGCGAGCUAUAACGUGGAAUCGAAACUAACAUAACANNNNNNNNNNNNNNNNNNNNNNNNNNNNNNNNNNNNNNNNNNNNNNNNNNNNNNNNNNNNNNNNNNNNNNNNNNNNNNNNNNNNNNNNNNNNNNNNNNNNAUGUUAAGAACGCUUGGUUAGCACGUAAGGAGGACUACUCAGUAGUUCAAUGUGCAGUCUUGUAUGGCUUAGAACCGGGACUUCAACGUCGCUUUGAGCGUCAUGGAGCAUUUAGAUGUUCCAGGAGUUGAAGUUUAUCUUUCAGAAGAACGCCCGGAUCGAGAGGUAUGAGACCUCCGAUAAAUUCUAUGCUUGCAAGAUGGAGGAGAACUCGUCUGUCAGUGAACAUGUGCUCAAAAUGUCUGGGUACUCAAACCGUCUAGCUGAGCUGGGGAUUGAACUCCCGCAAGAGGCUAUCACUGACAGAAUCCUUCAAUCACUGCCGCCAAGCUAUAAAGGCUUUGUGUUGAACUACAACAUGCAAGGGAUGAACAAGUCACCCGGCGAGUUGUUUGCGAUGCUGAAAGUCGCAGAGUCUGAACUCCGUAAAGAACAUCAAGUGUUGAUGGUGAAUAAGACCACUAGUUUCAAGAGAAACAACAAAGGCAAGAAGGGUAAUUCAAAGAAGAGCGGCAUGCCCGUUGCCAAUCCGACGAAGAAACCCAAAGCUGGACCUAAGCCUGAAACGGAGUGUUACUAUUGCAAGGGUAUGGGUCAUUGGAAGCGCAAUUGCCCCAAGUAUCUGGCAGAUAAGAAGGCGGCCAAAGAAAAAUCAGGUAUAUUUGACAUACAUGUUAUUGAUGUGUACUUAACCGGCUCUCGUAGUAGUGCCUGGGUAUUCGAUACCGGUUCUGUUGCUCAUAUUUGCAACUCGAAAUAGGAACUGCGGAAUAGACGAAGGCUGGCGAAAGAUGAAGUGACGAUGCGCGUAGGAAAUGGUUCCAAGGUUGAUGCAAUCACCGUCGGCACAGUUUCACUUCAGUUACCAUCAGGAUUAGUGGUGAACUUAAAUCAUUGUCAUUUAGUGCCUGCGUUGAGCAUGAACAUUAUAUCUGGAUCUUGUUUAUUGCAAGACGGUUACUCUUUUAAGUCAGAGAAUAAUGGUUGUUCUAUUUCUAUGAGUAACAUCUUUUAUGGUCAUGCACCUAAUGUGAGAGGAUUGUUCAUAUUGAAUCUUGAUAGCGAUACACACAUACAUAACAUUGAGACCAAAAGAGUUAGAGUUAACAAUGAUAGCGCCAUAUUUUUUGUGGCACUGCCGCUUGGGUCAUAUUGGUGUAAAGCGCAUGAAGAAACUCCAUGCUGAUGGACUUUUGGAGUCACUUGACUUUGAUUCACUUGACACGUGCGAACCAUGCCUCAUGGGCAAGAUGACUAAGACUCCGUUCUCCGGAACAAUGGAGCGUGCAAGUGACUUGUUGGAAAUCAUACAUACCGAUGUGUGUGGUCCGAUGAGCGUGGAGGCACGCGGCGGAUAUCAUUAUUUUCUCACCUUCACUGACGAUUUGAGUAGAUAUGGUUAUGUCUACUUGAUGAAACACAAGUCUGAAACAUUUGAAAAGUUCAAGCAAUUUCAGAGUGAAGUUGAAAAUCAUCGUAACAAGAAGAUCAAGUUCCUACGGUCUGAUCGUGGGGGUGAAUAUCUGAGUUUCGAGUUUGGUGCUCACUUAAGACAAUGUGGAAUUGUUUCACAGUUGACACCGCCUUGAACACCACAGCGUAAUGGUGUGUCCGAACGUCGUAAUCGUACUUUAUUAGAGAUGGUGCGAUCUAUGAUGUCUCUUACCAAUUUGCCGUUAUCGUUUUGGGGUUAUGCAUUAGAAACAGCUGCAUUCACUUUAAAUAGGGCACCAUCAAAAUCCGUUAAGACGACACCAUAUGAACUGUGGUAUGGCAAAAGGCCAAAGUUGUCGUUUCUUAAAGUUUGGGGAUGUGAUGCUUAUGUCAAAAAGCUUCAGCCUGAAAAGCUGGAACCCAAAGCGGAAAGGUGCGUCUUCAUAGGUUACCCAAAAGAGACAGUUGGGUACACCUUCUAUCUCAAAUCCGAGGGCAAAGUGUUUGUUGCUAAAAACGGAGCUUUUCUCGAGAAGGAGUUUCUCUCGAGAGAAUUGAGUGGGAGGAAGAUAGAACUUGACGAGGUUGUCGAACCUCUCAUCCCUCUGGAUGGUGGCGCAGGACAAGGGGAAACCUCUGUCGUUGCGACGCCGGUUGAGGAGGAAGUUAAUGAUGAUGAUCAUGAAACUCCAGUUCAAGUUUCUGUCGAACCACGCAGGUCGACGAGACCACGUGCUGCUCCAGAGUGGUACGGUAAUCCCGUCUUGUCAAUCAUGUUGUUAGACAACAAUGAACCUGCAAAUUAUGAAGAAGCAAUGGUGGGCCUAGAUUCCAACAAAUGGCUAGAAGCCAUGAAGUCCGAGAUAGGAUCCAUGUAUGAGAACAAAGUGUGGACUUUGGAGGUACUACCUGAGGGCCGCAAGGCUAUUCAGAACAAAUGGAUCUUUAAGAGGAAGACGGACGCUGACGGAAAUGUGACCGUUUAUAAAGCUCGACUUGUGGCAAAGGGUUUUUCACAAGUUCAAGAAGUUGACUACGAUGAGACUUUCUCACCCAUAGUAAUGCUUAAGUCCGUCAGAAUCAUGUUAGCAAUAGCUGCAUUUUUCGAUUAUGAAAUCUGGCAGAUGGAUGUCAAAACGGCAUUCCUUAACGGUUUCCUUAAGGAAGAAUUGUAUAUGAUGCAACCCGAAGGUUUUGUCGAUCCUAAGAAUGCCAACAAGGUGUGCAAGCUCCAGCGAUCCAUUUAUGGACUGGUGCAAGCAUCUCGGAGUUGGAACAAACGCUUUGAUGAAGUGAUCAAAGCAUUUGGGUUUAUACAAGUGGUUGGAGAAUCUUGUAUUUACAAGAAAGUGAGUGGGAGCUUUGCAGCGUUUCUAAUAUUAUAUAUGGAUGACAUAUUGCUGAUUGGAAACAACAUGGAGUUUUUAGAGAGCAUAAAGGAUUACUUGAAUAAAAGUUUCUCUAUGAAGGACCUAGGAGAAGAUGCUUACAUUCUAGGCAUUAAGAUCUAUAGGGAUAGAUCAAAACGCCUGAUAGGACUUUCACAAAGCACAUACCUUGAUAAAGUUUUGAAGAGGUUCAAAAUGGAACAGUCCAAGAAAGGGUUCUUGCCAGUUUUACAAGGUACAAGAUUGAGUAAGACUCAGUGCCCAGCAACUGAUGAAGAUAGAGAGCAUAUGCGCUCCGUCCCCUAUGCUUCAGCCAUAGGUUCUAUCAUGUAUGCAAUGCUGUGCACUAGACCGGAUGUUAGCCUGACCAUAAGUAUGGCAGGUAGGUUCCAGAGUAAUCCAGGAGUGGAUCACUGGACAACGGUCAAGAAUAUCCUGAAGUACCUGAAAAGGACUAAGGAGAUGUUUCUCGUGUAUGGAGGUGACGAAGAGCUCGCCGUAAAAGGUUACAUCGAUGCAAGCUUUGACACAGAUCCGGACGACUCUAAGUCACAAACCGGAUACGUAUUUAUUCUUAAUGGGGGUGCGGUAAGCUGGUGCAGUUCCAAGCAAAGCGUCGUAGCAAAUUCUACAUGUGAAGCGGAGUACAUGGCUGCCUUGGAGGCGGCUAAGGAGGGUGUCUGGAUGAAGCAGUUCAUGACGGAUCUUGGAGUGGUGCCAAGCGCACUGAAUCCAAUAACCUUGUUCUGUGACAACACGGGUGCCAUUGCCUUAGCAAAGGAACCACGGUUUCACAAGAAGACUAGACACAUCAAACUACGCUUCAACCUCAUCCGCGACUACGUCGAGGAGGAGGACGUAAAUAUAUGCAAAGUGCACACGGAUCUGAAUGUAGCAGACCCGCUGACUAAACCUCUUCCACGGCCAAAGCAUGAUCAACACCAGAACUGUAUGGGUGUUAGAUUUAUUACAAUGUAAUUCGCAUGAUGAUGUGAGGGCUAGAUUAUAGACUCUAGUGCAAGUGGGAGACUGUUGGAAUUAUGCCCUAGAGGCAAUAAUAAAUAUAGUUAUUAUUAUAAUUCCUGUAUCAAGAUAAUCGUUUAUUAUCCAUGCUAUAAUUGUAUUGAAUGAAGACUCAUUUACAUGUGUGGAUACAUAGACAAAACACCGUCCCUAGCAAGCCUCUAGUUGGCUAGCCAGUUGAUCAAAGAUAGUCAGUGUCUUCUGAUUAUGAACAAGGUGUUGUUGCUUGAUAACUGGAUCACGUCAUUGGGAGAAUCACAUGAUGGACUAGACCCAAACUAAUAGACGUAGCAUGUUGAUCGUGUCAUUUUGUUGCUACUGUUUUCUGCGUGUCAAGUAUUUAUUCCUAUGACCAUGAGAUCAUAUAACUCACUGACACCGGAGGAAUGCUUUGUGUGUAUCAAAUGUCGCAACGUAACUGGGUGACUAUAAAGAUGCUCUACAGGUAUCUCCGAAGGUGUUAGUUGAGUUAGUAUGGAUCAAGACUGGGAUUUGUCACUCCGUGUGACGGAGAGGUAUCUCGGGGCCCACUCGGUAAUACAACAUCACACACAAGCCUUGCAAGCAAUGUGACUUAGUGUAAGUUACGUGAUCUUGUAUUAGAGAACGAGUAAAUAGACUUGCCAGUAAACGAGAUUGAAAUAGGUAUGCGGAUACUGACGACCGAAUCUCGGGCAAGUAACAUGCCGAAGGACGCAGGGAAUGACAUAUGGGAUUAUAUGAAUCCUUGGCACUGAGGUUCAAACGAUAAGAUCUUCGUAGAAUAUGUAGGAUCCAAUAUGGGCAUCCAGGUCCCACUAUUGGAUAUUGACCGAGGAGUCUCUCGGGUCAUGUCUACAUAGUUCUCGAACCGCAGGGUCUGCACACUUAAGGUUCGACGUUGUUUUAUGCGUAUUUGAGUUAUAUGGUUGGUUACCGAAUGUUGUUCGGAGUCCCGGAUGAGAUCACGGAUCUCACGAGGGUUUCCGGAAUGGUCCGGAAACGAAGAUUGAUAUAUAGGAUGACCUCAUUUGAUUACCGGAAGGUUUUCGGAGUUACCGGGAAUGUACCGGGAAUGACGAAUGGGUUCCGGGAGUUCACCGGGAGGGGGCAACCCACCCCGGGGAAGCCCAUAGGCCUUGAGGAUGGCACACCAACCCUUAGUGGGCUGGUGGGACAGCCCAAAAGGGCCCUAUGCGCCUAGAAAAGAAAAUCAAAGAGAAAAGAAAAAAAAGGAGGUGGGAAGGGAAGGAAGGACUCCCACCCACCAAACCAAGUCCAACUCGGAUUGGGGGGGGGGAGCCAUCCCCCUUGGACUCGGCCGACCCCCUUGGGGCUCCUUGAGCCCCAAGGCAAGGUCCCCUCUCCCUCCCACCUAUAUAUACGGAGGUUUUAGGGCUGAUUUGAGACGUUUUUUCCACGGCAGCCCGACCACAUACCUCCACGGUUUUUCCUCUAGAUCGCAUUUCUGCGGAGCUCGGGCGGAGCCCUGCUGAGACAAGGUCAUGACCAACCUCCGGAGCGCCGUCACGCUGCCGGAGAACUCUUCUACCUCUCCGUCUCUCUUGCUAGAUCAAGAAGGCCGAGAUCAUCGUCGAGCUGUACGUGUGCUGAACGCGGAGGUGCCGUCCGUUCGGUACUAGAUCGUGGGACUGAUCGCGGGAUUGUUCGCGGGGCGGAUCGAGGGACGUGAGGACGUUACACUACAUCAACCGCGUUCACUAACGCUUCUGCUGUACGGUCUACAAGGGUACGUAGAUCACUCAUCCCCUCUCGUAGAUGGACAUCACCAUGAUAGGUCUUCGUGCGCGUAGGAAAAUUUUUGUUUCCCAUGUGACGUUCCCCAAGAAUGGAUUCAUUCAUGAAAUUCACCCAACUUUUGCCGGCAUCUGAGAAUGCACAUGCAAUGAUGCCACGCAAAAUUUCGACGCAAUCGGAGACCAAACGCACAUUGCGUCACGUCCGGCAUCUGUUUCUGCCGGUUUUUAAAUAGAAAUUCAUAAAAAAGCACGGAAUGUGAGAAAAUUCUAAAAUUUGACGUGCCGCCUUGUGAAGUUCAUCGUGAAGCGUGAAAAAAAUGAAUUUUUUUCAUGAAGGGGAGUUGCAAAAUGGCGUUGUAGCACCCCUUCCGUCCAUACCGACACUCAUGGGUUGCACAUGAAGUACACGGAUGCAUUCAUGAAAUUAACCCAACUUUUGCCGGCACGUGAGAAUGCACAUGCAGUGAUGCCACACAAAAUUUCGACGAAAUCGGAGACCAAACGCACGUUGCGUCACGUCCGGCAUCUGUUUUUGCCGGUUUUUGAAUGGAAAUUUUAAAAAAAGCACGGAUUGUCAGAAAAUUCUAAAAUUUGACGUGCCGCCUUGUGAAGUUCAUCGUAAAGUGUGAAAAAAAUGAAAUUUUUUCAAGAUGGGGAUUUGCAAGAUGGCGUUGUAUCAACCCUUCUCUCCAUACCGACACCCAUGGGUUGCACAUGAAGUAGAUGGAUGCAUUCAUGAAAUUCACCCAACUUUUGCCGACACCUGAGAAUGCAUAUGCAAUGAUGCCACACAAAAUUUCGACGAAAUCGGAUACCAAACGCACGCUGGGUCACGUCCGGCAUCUGUUUUUGCUGGUUUUUGAAUGGAAAUUCAUAAAAAACAUGGAUUGUCAGAAAAUUCUAAAAUUUGACGUGCCUCCUUGUGAAGUUCAUCGUAAAGCGUGGAAAAAUGAAAAAAAUUAAUGAAGGGGAGUUGCGAGAUGGCGUUGUAGCACCCCUUCCGUCCAUACCGACACCCAUGGGUUGCACAUGAAGUACAUGGAUUCAUUCAUGAAAUUCACCCAACUUUUGCCGGCAUCUGAGAAUGCACAUGCAAUGAUGUCACGCAAAAUUUCGAUGAAAUCGGAGACCAAACGCACGUUGCGUCACGUCCAGCAUCUGUUUUUGCCGGUUUUUGAAUAGAAAUUCAUAAAAAAGCACGGAUUGUCAGAAAACUCUAAAAUUUGACGUGCCGCCUUGUGAAUUUCUUCGUGAAGCGUGAAAAAAAAUGAAAUUUUUUCAUGAAGGGGAGUUACAAGAUGGCGUUGUAGCACCCCUUCCGUCCAUACUGACACCCAAGGGUUGCACAUGAAGUACGUGGAUACACUCAUGAAAUUCACCCAACUUUUGCCGGCACGUGAGAAUGCACAUGCAAUGAUGACACGCAAAAUUUCAACGAAAUUAGAGACCAAACGCACGUUGCGUCACGUCCGGCAUCUGUUUUUGUCGGUUUUUGAAUGGAAAUUCAUAAAAAAGGACGGAUUGGUGGAAAAUUCUAAAAUUUGACGUGCCGCCUUGUGAAGUUCAUCGUGAAGCGUGGAAAAAAUGAAAAAAUUUCAUGAAGGGGACUUGCAAAUUCAUAUGGAAAUAUUUCAUGUAGGAGACUUGCAAAUAUUCAUAUGAAAAAAAAAUGAAAAAAAUACACCCGACGUCGUCAUAUUGUUUUCCCACGACGGCGGGAUUAGCGACGUUGCAUACCCUAGCCACAUCUACGUGAUCUCGCCGCCGCCGCGCCCCGACGCCUCGCUCUGCACCCGACGUGAUCUCGCCACCCCCUCUCCCCCGACGCCUAGCCGUACGCCGACGUGAUCUCGCCGCCCUCCAUCCCUCCCGACGCCGCACCAUCACAACUUCGUGACCGUGGCCGUCACCGUCCGUCCGCGCGUCGCCGUCCAUCACCGUCACCAUCUGUCCGCCGUCGGUCGUCACCGUCCAUCGUCCUUCACCGUCCGUCGCCGUCGGCCUUGACCGUACGUCAGUGCGUCGCCGCGGCCUUCACCGUUCGNNNNNNNNNNNNNNNNNNNNNNNNNNNNNNNNNNNNNNNNNNNNNNNNNNNNNNNNNNNNNNNNNNNNNNNNNNNNNNNNNNNNNNNNNNNNNNNNNNNNACUAUGGGGCCACCACAGGGCAACCUGAGGUUUGGUAUACCUGUAGUGUGACUCAUCCGGCGUGUCCUGAUACUGAGAUACGCGGCUCUUAUCAGGGUCGUCGACACGUCGGGAGGUCCUGCUAGUCUUGUCUUGCCUUAGCGGUUUAUCUUGCGUAUAGGAAUUCCGGUGAAGCUUUGGUUUCACCCAGAGUUGAGGUUUUCUCUAAGGAAUCCAACGAGAUCACGAGAUUCGUGAUAGAGGAUACCUUUGCGGUCUGUGUUCGUUUGUGAUGGACUAGUUGGAGCACCCCUGCAGGGUUCAAUCUUUCGGAAAGCCGUGCCCGCGGUUAUGUGGCAACUUGGAAUAUUUUGUUAACAUCCGGUAUUAGAAAACUUAAACAUAAACCAAUAAAAUAUGCCAACUGUGUGCGUAACCGUGACUGUCCCUUCGAAGAUCUCUCUUCGAUAGGGAACACGGUGGGGUUAUGAAUGCCGUAGGUAGGUGUUCAGGAUCACGUUCUGAUCAAGUAUUCACGAUCGUUAGUAUAGAACACUGUCACUUCUCCUUUGCGUAACCUAGCCACUUAUUCAGCCUUAGGAUGCAGCAGCCUGAAACACUUCACCCCUUCCUUGCCCAAUAACAUGGCUAGAUCUGGCACCAAGGCCUUAGAUUGCUGAGUCCCCGUGGCUCACGGAUUCCUCCGAAACUUCCAGCAGGUACAGGUACCCCAGAGGCAGAGGAUCCCGACGGCACCCAGCUGGCGUGGUAGUACGACGAGGAGACAGAUCGCCUUUACGUUAACUACCCAGAGGACUGAACCGUGGUCGUGAUCGUGGGCCUGCAGCGGGUAGCAUAGCCUUUUCCUUGUUUUGUAGUCCGUACCGGAACUACCUUGUUUGUACCUGCGUUGUACUCUGUAUUUUAAUAAGAAGACAGUUGAAUCCCAGAUUGUCUACUGUAAGUAUUGUUAUAUGCUAUGUUUACUUGCUUGCGAAACACUUAGAUGCGCUUCUUUCCUGUUCGGGGGCCUCGACCCCCAGAUCGAAAAGGACCGCAUCUUGGUCGUUACAUUUCGUCAGGGCAGCCAGAGUACGCUUCGCUUUUACCGGAUCUAUCUUCUUCUCCGGAGGUGGAUUUUUCUUUGCUUUGACCCCUUCAAAGAAGUUGGUCACUUCGGCUUGCACGAUCUUUGUGUUUUCCUACUGGCUCCUCUCGUAUGGUAACUUCUCUGGAGUCUUCAGAGAAGGACCGCAUCUGUAUUGCCUGCCUCUAGCUGUACUGCUAGACUGUAACGACCAAGAUGCGGUCCUUUCCGAUCUGGGGGUCGAGGCCCCCGAAUAGGAAAGAAGCGCAUCUAAGUGUUUCACAAGCAAGUAAACAUAGCACAUAAUAACGAUUACAGUAGACAAUCUGGGAUUCAACUGUCUUCUUAUUAAUAAUACAGAGUACAGUGCAGAUACAAACAAGGUAGUUCCGGUACGGACUACGGAACAAGGAAAAUGCUAUGCUACCCGCUGCAGGCCCACGAUCACGACCACGGCUCAGUCCUCGGGAUAGUUCACGUAAAGGCGAUCUGUCUCCUCGUCGUACUGCCAUGCCAGCUGGGUGCCGUCGGGAUCAUCUGACUCUGGGGUACCUGUACCUGCUGGAAGUUUCGGAGGAAUCCGUGAGCCACGGGGACUCAGCAAUCUAAGACCUUGGUGCCAGAACUAGUCAUGUUAUUGGGUAAGGAAGGGGUGAAGUGUUUCGGGCAGCUGCAACCUAUGAUUGAAUAAGUGGCUAACUUACGCGAGAAGGAAGUGAAAGUGGUCUACGCUAACGAUCGGGAAUACUUGAUCAGAAAGUGAUCCUGAACACCUACCUACGGCAGUCAUAACCCCACCGUGUUCCCGAUCGAAGAGAGAUCUUCAAAGGGACAUUCACGGUUACGCACACAGUUGGCAUUUUUUAUUAAUUUAUGUUUAAGUUCUCUAAUACCGGAUGUUAACAAAAUAUUCCAAGUUGCCACAUAACCGCGGGCACGGCUUUCCGAAAGAUUAAACCCUGCAGGGGUGCUCCAACUAGUCCAUCACAAACGAACACAGGCCGCAAAGGCAUCCUCUAUCACGAAUCUCGUGAUCUCGUCGGAUUCCUUAGAGGAAAACCUCAACUCUGGGUGAAACCAAAGCUUCACUGGGAUUCCUAUACGCAAGAUAUACCGCUAAGGCAAGACAAGACUAGCAGGACCUCCCGACGUGUCGACGACCCUGAUAAGAGCCGCGUAUCUCAGUCUCAGGACACGCCGGAUGAGUCACACUACAGGUAUACCAAACCUCAGGUUGCCCUGUGGUGGCCCCAUAGUCUGCCCAGUUUGGACCAACACUCAUGAGGAGCACUGGCCCGGGUUGUUGAUUAAAUUCCUCGGGUUAGCUAUUCCCUAUGCAGCUUAUUAUUAGGUGAUUAGCAAAUAGUACCAAAGUUGGGUCCUGCCGGACAAGCCUUAACACAACGCGAUUUAUCAAGGGGGUCCCCAUAACAACCCCGAACGUGUUAGGAGCGAUCAUUAUGGAAUCAAACACCGGUAACCGGUAACUGAGGCGGCAAUAACGGAACAAGACACCCGGCAAAAGGCUAGGCCUCCCGUCAUUUACCAAGUAUAUAGAUACAUUAAUUAAAUAACAGAAAUUAAUAUAAUGAUAUCAAUCUCAUGUCAUCACAUGAGUUUAAAUCACCUGCAACUAAAACGCUAACAUUGGUAGCUGAGCAAGCCUACCUAGCCAUGCAAGUUUGCUAGGAAAGAGUAAGGUGUUUAGGCUCAUGGCAUAUGAAGAGGCAAUAUAUUUUAAGUGGUAGGCAGCGAGAAAUAUGACGUGGAAUCGAAACUAACAUAACAAGUCUAGAUAUGGGAUCAAGGUCAUGUCAUCUUGCCUGUGAUAUCCUCAGCUUGGAAUGGUUCUGGAUCGUCCUGCACGUACUCUCCUGACUCCACGUAUUCGGUCUCCGCUCCCGGUGCUACCCAACACAAGAAUAACAGCCAAUGAACAGCAGCACCACAAGAUGCAACAAUCACAUGAUGCAUGAGAUGAAAGUUGAGCAUGCACCACUAUUUCUAACACUAGCACAAGCAAGAUAAACUACAACAAGUUCCUGGACAGAAUUUUGCACUAAACUAUUUGGACAUGCAUGGGAAUGAUAUGAACAGAUGCAUCUCGUAAAAACGGUGCAAAACCAUAUAAAGAACUUUGCCAACGGAGCUACGGAUCAACGGGAAUCGACGAAACACGAUAUGAAGCCCUACAUGAAAGAUUCAACCCCACACACUCAAUUGGCACAGAUCAGGUGUUCCCAGGUUGCCAAGACAUAUAUUAACCCAACAUGAAUGAAAAGGAGCAAGGUAGAACACCACAACAACAAUUAAGCACAAACUUUGAACAAAAUGGCAAAACUAUGCAAUCUGCCAGUUUCUGCAUCUUAGCUGUUUGUGAGCCACAUGAAACAUAGCUACAGGUCUUCAAAUAUGACAAAUAAUAUAUGUGCCUGUUGCCAACCAAGAACACUACAAGCUCCAGCAAUAAUCACAGCAAAAGGAAUUAAACUCUAGAAGAUACAAGGCCACAAACUUUCCCAAAACCAUCAGUUCUCAGGGACUUGGUGAAAAUUCCUGCACCUGAGACUCUGUUUCUGUUCUGAAGCUUUUUGACAGUAAUCAAAACACAAUCUACUGGACUCCAAAUAAAUUGAAAAUUGACAGGAAGCUUCACAAACAUCCCAGGUUCAAAACACUAGCACUGAACUAAGUCCAGUUCUCAACAGAAUGACCAGCACUUCCUUAUCUACAGGGGAAGAAAAUGUUUCCAGCAUCCCAGACUUAGUGAAAUUUUCAGAGUUCAAAAAUCUGGAAUUUUCCAGCCACAUGCCCACUUUGUCUAGGCAUAGUUUGCACACGCAUGUUACCAAGAGGUGAUUGACACCACUAUGGUGUUGAGCACAAACCCCUACUAUUAACACACAAAGAUCCAUGCCCUUGGGCUCCAUCUAUACCAUGGAAUCAAGGACCAAACUUCCAACAAAAUUGUAAAUGCAACUCCAUAAGGUAUGCUUCUAAGAUGACAAUACAUAGGUGAGUUUUUAUGUGUACAAUGACAAAGUGACAUGGGGGUUUGAACCCCAUGUUUGUGUCAUGGACAUCAACAAUACCAACAUAUCUACCAAACUAUCCCCACACACAAACACCAUGCCCUCUCACAUAUAGACAUGUGAAGGUGCAUAGUUUUUGCAAGGGUGGGGAAGUUCCACACACACUCACAUACUCCACAUGAUCUUAGCUACCAACUAAAACAAGGUCAACUCCAUAUGUAAACACACAACCUAGUGCAUCAACACAUGAUAGCACUUACAACAAAGAAGAAGCUACACAAGUUUGCUACUUCACUUGCUAGCUUCACCUAGGAUAAACUACUAGGUAGGACCAGCAUGCACACACCAUAUGUCAAGCUUCUCCAUAUGUAAAUGGCCUCACACCCACAUGCAAUUCUCACAAGCCACACACUACAUCACCUAACCUAGAAAUAACAGCAAGAAAAUAAAAUAGAAACAAGCUGCCAUGACCACCUAUGGGUAUAACAGGAACUACAAAGCAAAGAUGAAUCAAUAUAGCAGCAAAGAGAAAAAAAAGGAACUUCCUGGGAUUCGAUCCCAGUACUCCCUCUGGUAACCCAGAGCACCAAUACCACUCCACUGAUCACCAUGCACUCGACAGAGGAGGGGUACAUGGCGAGAUAACCUCUCUGCUGCUGGUACUACUUACGAACAGGAAAUAAAACCAAAAAAAAAAUAGGGGCGGUGCACCACCGGGGACUCGAACCCUGCACCUCUCGUUGACCAACAAGAGUCACUACCACUGCCCUACUGCAACUACAUCUGACAGAGGAAGGACCUGAAGCGAGAAAUACCAAGACCAUCGCUGUCUCUGCUCCACAACUGCGCGCCGGCGACAGAGAAGACGCCGUGGCGAGCAACUGCUGCCGCUGCGCCGCUCGAGGGCGACCUGCCGAAGUGGGAUGGCGCUACGAGGGGGAGGAAGAACCCUACUACCACUACCAACUACAAGCCUCUCCUGCAGAGAACACCAUGCACACAAGCUGAAGAAGCUACAACUUUGCUCGACGGAACUGCACGACGACAGGGAGUUCGCCGGCGUCCUAUUGCUGCAGCAGCUACCGGAGGAACCGAAGCAACCCGAGGAGAUGGAUCCCCUGCUACUAUCUACGCACAGCCGUGGGGCUACCUCGUCUACAUCGACACGAACGGCGGAAGUCUACUCUGCCUGCGCCAACUAGCAGAGAAACAACUACACGUACAGCCUGCCGGUACAACUCCGGCAAGCCUCGAGCAGGAGGCUCGGCGCCACUUCCGAAGAGGAAACUAGGAGGGGGAGAGGCACGGUCUCGCUCACCUUGCGUCGAGAGGAGAGGCGCCCGACGUGGAAGAAGAAGAAGUGCGCCUACUGCUGCAGGUAAAAGCCGCUGGGCGAGGAAGAAGGUGCUCGUCGGGGACGUCGAGGAAGAAGCCCCGGCUCCGGCUCCGCGCGAAAAUGGAACCCCUCCUCGGUCCUCUUGCUUGCGCAGCUACGGGGAGGCGACGAGGUGGCCGCUACGCCGGCGACGAGCUCGACCCGGUGCUGGUCAUGGCGUUGGGGACGACGAGAGUCUCACUGGCGGCGCUGGAGGGAGAGGACGAGGGAGAGGAGGAACCCUAGAGUGGUGGGGAGGCUGAGGG